rnacentral:rRNA from 1 species
UACGAAGGGGGCUAGCGUUGCUCGGAAUCACUGGGCGUAAAGCGCACGUAGGCGGCUUUUUAAGUCAGGGGUGAAAUCCUGGAGCUCAACUCCAGAACUGCCUUUGAUACUGAGGAUCUUGAGUCCGGGAGAGGUGAGUGGAACUGCGAGUGUAGAGGUGAAAUUCGUAGAUAUUCGCAAGAACACCAGUGGCGAAGGCGGCUCACUGGCCCGGUACUGACGCUGAGGCACGAAAGCGUGGGGAGCAAACAGG